AAUUCCUUUUUCCAGUGAUCUCUGCCUGCGAUCACCCAGCAAUCCACCCUUCCUGAAACAUAGGAUAAUCUGGGUAGUUUGUCUCCUUGUGGCUGAACUUUUGUUCUCUGGCACAUGCAUACCCUCUCCUAUAUGGAUUCCCAUAUCUGGCGUGGACCUUUUUGGUAGGCUAUGAUUGUAUAUCCUCCCCGUGAACACAGAGACAUUGAUCUCCAUAUACAGCAUUUUCCCCUUGUUUUUGGCGUACUUUCACACUGAGACAGGACUCUAUCUACAGAUCUUAUUGACUACAUGUAUUUCUCUGACACAAUGAUCGUCUGUAAUACCCCUUGAAGAAGGAUCACAGAUACCGAAACGGCUGUCGGGUUGGACCAAUUUUUGUCUCAUGUCUGUUUUAUUGCUUUACAAAUAGGAUCUGUAUACCACUUGCAUGUGGUUUUUUAUCCUUGCUAGGACACUGUACGAUGUCCUUACUUAAAUUGUUUAAAUAAAUUUGCUAUAUAUUUUUCUACUCA